ensembl:lncRNA
GGUGCUUCUACCAAACGUCUGUUGGCACGGUAACAGGUGCUGAUAGUUAAGGCUCUGACUGACACCCUUUUUAAAAUGAGCAGCGAACAGUCUGUGCACGCUGGACAUCCCGCAGGAUUUAUAAGAGUGCUGUGUGGAAACCCAAGUCUGCGACACCAGGGCCUUGUCUAAGUUUAGUGCCGUUUACCUGUUAAACUGACAGAAAAGUCUGCUGCACGAGAUCUCAAGUUUGUCGGCUGCUUCACUGCUGCGCUGGAGUGGAGGGCUGCUGUGAGAUCCCCCGCUUCUGCGUUCCGCUGCUGUGAGAUCCCCCGCUUUUGCGUUCUGUUGCUGUGAGAUCCCUCGAUUCUGCGUUCCGCUGCUGUGAGAUGCCCAUGAAAGAUAAUAUCCGAGUCGUCCGACGGCUGAGGGAAGCGGCGUGGCACACGGUCUGGGAGCUAGGUUCGUCUGCUCCCAGUUCAAUGACCAACGUAGAGCAGCUGUGGUGUGGGUGGCAGAUGCUGACGGACUUGUAUGCAAACCUACUGUGGACUGUGCUCCUUUCAGCAGGGGCUCACGGGCUGUUACACAUGGACUUGAAUAACUCUUGUCAUGGUGUAUCUUUUAGAAAAC